rnacentral:rRNA from 1 species
AGGGUUUGAUUAUGGCUCAGGAUGAACGCUAGCUACAGGCUUAACACAUGCAAGUCGAGGGGAAACGACAUCGAAAGCUUGCUUUUGAUGGGCGUCGACCGGCGCACGGGUGAGUAACGCGUAUCCAACCUGCCCACCACUUGGGGAUAACCUUGCGAAAGUAAGACUAAUACCCAAUGAUAUCUCUAGAAGGCAUCUGAAAGAGAUUAAAGAUUUAUCGGUGAUGGAUGGGGAUGCGUCUGAUUAGCUUGUUGGCGGGGUAACGGCCCACCAAGGCAACGAUUAGUAGGGGUUCUGAGAGGAAGGUCCCCCACAUUGGAACUGAGACACGGUCCAA